GACGAACGCUGGCGGCGUGCUUAACACAUGCAAGUCGAACGGAAAGGCCCUGCUCUUGCGGGGUGCUCGAGUGGCGAACGGGUGAGUAACACGUGAGUAACCUGCCCUUGACUUUGUGAUAACUUCUGGAAACUGGGGAGAAUACCCGGUAGGAGCUCCUGCUGCAUGGUGGGGGUUGGAAAGUUUCGGCGGUUGGGGAUGGUCUCGCGGCUUAUCAGCUUGUUGGUGGGGUAGUGGCUUACCAAGGCUUCGACGGGUAGCCGGCCUGAGAGGGUGGACGGCCACAUUGGGACUGAGAGACGGCCCAGACGCCUACGGGCGGCAGCAGGGGAGAAUAUUGCGCAAUAGGCGGAAGCGAGAUGCAGCAACGCCGCGUGCGGGAUGACGGCCUUCGGGUGGUAAACCGCUUUCGCCUGUGACGAAGCGUGAGUGACGGUAAUGGGUAAGGAAGCACCGGCUAACUACGUG
rnacentral:rRNA from 1 species